GCUUUGCUCGGUGAUCUGCAGUCACUUACCUUGCCAACCUUCACGCCUGGUACACGCAAGGGACAAUCCUGCAGGUCCUUGUGCGUCAUCCACUCCUUGCUUCAGAGAAGAUGACGUCCCCACUAGACCGUCCCUCAGCAGACGGUGUUUCUUCUCCCUGCUAGCACCCACCGCGCUCUCCUGGCGGACCUUUGCUGUGUGAUAUGCAAUAACUCGCCUUGCCAACCUCUGCGUC
rnacentral:lncRNA from 1 species